rnacentral:rRNA from 1 species
UACGUAGGGUGCGAGCGUUGUCCGGAGUUAUUGGGCGUAAAGAGCUUGUAGGUGGUUUGUCGCGUCUGCUGUGAAAAUCCGAGGCUCAACCUCGGACUUGCAGUGGGUACGGGCAGACUAGAGUGUGGUAGGGGAGACUGGAAUUCCUGGUGUAGCGGUGGAAUGCGCAGAUAUCAGGAGGAACACCGAUGGCGAAGGCAGGUCUCUGGGCCAUUACUGACACUGAGAAGCGAAAGCAUGGGGAGCAAACAGG